AUUGAACGCUGGCGGCAGGCCUAACACAUGAAAGUCGAGCGAGCGGCGGAAGGGUGAGUAAUGUCUGGGAAAAUGCCUGAUGGAGGGGGAUAACUACUGGAAACGGUAGCUAAUACCGCAUACCAUCAGAAGUGCCCAGAUGGGAUUAGCUAGUAGGUGGGGUAAUGGCUCACCUAAGCGACGAUCCCUAGCUGGCGUGAGAGGAUGACCAGCCACACUGGAACUGAGUCACGGUCCAGAGUCCUACGUGAGGCAGCAGUGGGGAAUAUUGCACAAUGGGCGCAAGCCGGAUGCAGCCAUGCCGCGUGUUUGAAGAAGGCCUUAGGGUUGUAAAGCACGUUCAGCGGGGAGGCGUUACCCGCAGAAGAAGCACCGGCUAACUCCGUGCCAGCAGCCGCGGUAAUAC
rnacentral:rRNA from 1 species